CUUAAAGUCUCCUGAAGGAACGUUAAAGACGAUGACGUUGAUAGGCCGGGUGUGUAAGCGCAGCGAUGCGUUGAGCUAACCGGUACUAAUGAACCGUGAGGCUUAACCUUACAACGCCGAAG
rnacentral:rRNA from 1 species